UGUGCCCCUGUGGGGAGGGCUGGGGGAUUUUGUGUUUUACCUGUGAAGUGUAAACCUCUUCUACCUGAAAGAAGCUGAUAGAAAAGCAGGGAGGGACCCACACAGAAAGAAAAUAAGCAAAGGAUGAAAUUAUUUAGAAGCCGUUUCAUCGUUUCAGGGCUUGCUUCUAAGACUUGUUAGGCUGGACUAGAGCAGUGCUCAGGAGUUAGGACUGACUGUUCUCCAUCAGUAAGUAGGUCUGCUAUUUAUGGGUGAAGAUUGCUCUAACUUACGGUGUCCUUGGAAGCUGCCUUUAAUCCUUCCAGUAAGAGCUCUGUUAUCUUAUAUGAGAAGUUUCUGCUUGCAUGUGGCUACUUUUGUCUCCUUGAUGAGAUGACUACAUUCUAAGCUGAGUGGUGGACUCAGAUCACAUAUUUCACAUCUUCUCAUGAAAAUGUGGAUAAUCUGGCAACUCUGGGCCCAGUCCACACGGCCACCACUGGUGUCCUCUUCUGAUGAGCACAGAUCGUCGAGUGUUGUGCUGUCUCCGCCGCCCGGCCUGCUUCACAUUCCCAUGACCUCCGCCUGCCCCCACUGGCAUCGGAAGGUGUUAGAAAUCAUCCGGCCACCAGGAGAGAAAUCAGCCUAAGAAUGAAGCUCAUAGAGACACAAAGGAAGGUAGAGCUGAGAGAACAACUGGGAAAUGGAGCUGGAGUCCUGAUCAAGCCUCGCCUGAAGCUCAUUUACCCCAUUUCCCAGCUAUAUUAAUCAAUAAAUCUCUUCUCUUAUCUGCA